CAAUAGCGUAUAUUAAAGUUGUUGCAGUUAAAAAGCUCGUAGUUGGAUUUGUGGCGUACGGUGUGUUCCGGGCACUUGUUGUCUGAGUAACCUGCUGUUGCCAUCCUUGGGUGGAACCUGUGUGGCAUUAGGUUGUCGUGCAGGGGAUGCCCAUCAUUUACUGUGAAAAAAUUAGAGUGUUCAAAGCAGGCUUAUGCCGUUGAAUAUAUUAGCAUGGAAUAAUGAGAUAGGACUUUUUUGCUAUUUUGUUGGUUUGCGCAAAGAGGUAAUGAUUAAUAGGGACAGUUGGGGGUAUUCGUAUUCCAUUGUCAGAGGUGAAAUUCUUGGAUUUUUGGAAGACGAUCUACUGCGAAAGCAUUUACCAAGGAUGUUUUCAUUAA
rnacentral:rRNA from 1 species